rnacentral:lncRNA from 1 species
AUGCAAAUGUGCCAGGCCUCAAGGAUAAUGGGUGGUUUGCACAACAAAAGCUGUAGGAGAAACAAGCUGACGACCUGUGAAAAUCUCAGCAGGGGUGCAAGUCCCGAGGUGUUAAGCACCCCUGCUGAGAUUUUCACAGGUCGUCAGCUUGUUUCUCCUACAGCUUUUGUUGUGCAAACCACCCAUUGUCCAUGAGGCCUGGCACAUUUGCAUUUGCUCACUCAGAGUUGCUCAGAUCCAAGGCAGGCCAAACCUCUGUGUUACAACUUUCAGAAAUGCCUGGUAGAAAUGCUUCAACUUACUCAUGAGAUUUUGACCACAUUUUUUGCGGAAGUCACAACUAUACUGAAUGCACGACCAUUGUUGCCAGCUGCAAGAAAUGCUUGUAUCAUACAUAAACUCAUUCUCUCAAAAAAAGAGGAGGAGAGACCGACAAUUCUGCUAAAAUGAGCAGAAGCUGCUGAGAAUUGUGCUGAGAAGAGGUGAAAAGGCUGAAAAUUUUGCAGAAAAGAGGCAGAACAAAAGAGAAAAAUGAAAACAGGUUUUGCCAUGACCGGGAUUUGAACCUGGCCGUUCUCAUCUCAAGGCAGCUGCUCAUCUCACUGAACCAAACUCUUUCUCUCAAAAACAAGAGAUGGAGAAACUGACAAUUUUGCUAAAUGAGCAGAAGCUGCUGAGAAUUGUGCUGAGAAGAAGUGAAAAGGCUGAAAAUUUUGCAGAAAAGAGGUGAAUCAGCAGAAUUUCUGCUGAAAAGAGGCAGAAGGUUCUGUAUGUAGAAAAAGAAACACUGUUGAACCAUGUGUGAAAUAAAUAAAGAAAUGAAAUGAAAGAACAACCUGGUUCUGCUCAAAUUCACCAAUCAGAGGUACUGCCUCAGUCUGCUUCAUCAGGCUGUGUACUUGUUUCUGCCAUGGAGCGUUAACAAGAAUCUGAGGUCCAUAUUAGAAAAGCUACUAAAAUCAUAAAAGUUUGCAGAAUUGUAAUAAAUUAGCAAUAUAAAUUACAGGUCUGUGAUAGUGUAUAAAUUUGUAGUGAAAAAAAAAAAACGUGGACCAAGGUGGGAUUGAACCCACGACCUUUGAGCUGCAGAGCCGUGUCAUUACUGAUUGCGCCACCUGGAAAGGGGGCAGGGGUCUGAAAGACAGAUACUUCAGCAGUCAGAAUUAGAUCGCAGUGAGAGGCAAAAAACGCCGUUUUUUUAGUGUUACAAAACGUCGUGUAACUCAAAAACUAGGAGGGGUAGCAGCAUAAUUCUUGUACUGGGUGAAUCAGCGGACUUUGGUGUACUUUGACUGCGAUUUUCAUUGCUCUAUGUACCUCCGUCGCGGAGAUAUGACGAGAGAAGAAACGGCUUCAUUUUCGGAGUUUGAAAACUGAGAGGAGGACAGAUUUCCACCCCUCAAACAAACGUAAUUCAUUGCUCAACGGUAAGAUAAUUGUAAAAACUGCUUCCACUGUGAGUGUCAGCAGUGUCUGAAGAUAUAUUGGCACAAGCCUCAUGUCCUAACUUUGCUUUGUUAAAGAGAUAUGGCGAUUUGAAAAUGCCUCCCGUUACAGAAUUUCAGCUCUGAAUUUCAAAACCUCCCCAUAGACUUUGAAUGGGGAGUAUUGAGACCUUGUGUCACUCCGAGGCAAAUUGCAAAAAAACGGUAAAUCUCACAAUAAAGAUAGUGACAUUGUCUGAAAGCCAGCAAAAAUACCUACGUUUUGAUGUAUAAUUUGUGGGGGUUGAGUGUAAAUUGAGUAAGUAGCAAGAAGUUGUUCAGACAUGAAGACAAAAUUCAGAACGGACCAGCACUCACUCUGAGUUAAUUGCACAGAAUUGUGGAAGUUUCCCAUUCAUUUCAAUGGGACAAAUUAAAGGAAAAAAGUGUAAUAUUUUAAAAAGUAUAACAGUAAUAAACACCAAAAGUCAUAGCAGGAAUUAACAGAAAGAGCAGAACAGUUUCGAGUUUGAACGGAGAAAAUCGGCUGAAAACUGAAGAAGUAGUUAAGCGGCGAAGAACGGAGCAACUUGAAGAAUAAAGUAUAAAGAAUAAAGAGAAACAGGAACUCAAUAGUGUGGAUGCCCUUUGGGGGCAUCCACACAAUAAAGAGAAACAGGAACUCAAUAGUGUGGAAGCCCUUUUAGGGCAUCCACACAAUAAAGAAUAAAGAGAAACAGGAACUCAAUAGAAAAAUUUGCAUUUCCUGCGAAAAUGCUGUGUGGAUGCCUUAAUGCUGAAGCUGUCUGCUCAAAAACUGAAAAAGAUGAAAAGUUGCAAAACGUUGUAUGGUGGUGAAAAAAAAAAAAUUGCCCUGAGCAGGAUUCGAACCUGGCCCUCCAUGUCUCAAGGCAGCCACUAAUCUCACUGAGCUAAACUCACUCUGACAAAGAAGAGGUGGAGAGACGGACAAUUCUGCUGAAAUGAGCAGAAGCUGCUGAGAAUUGUGUUGAUAAGAGGAGAAAAGGCUGAAAAAUUUGCAGAAAAGAGGUGAAUCAGCAGAAUUUCUGCUGAAAAGAGGUAAAGAAGCAGAAAGUUGCGCUGAAAAGACAUGAAUCAGCAGAAUUUUUUGCUCAAAAGUGUUUUUUCUGAAAACAGCUGAGAUUUGUGCUAAUAAGAGGUGAAAAGGCUGAAAAUUUUGCAGAAGAGGUGAAUAAGCAGAAUUUGGCCUUAAAAGAGGUGAAAAUUCUGCUGAAAAGAGUUCAAUCAGCAGAAUUUCUGCUGGAAAGAGUUCUGCAGAACCCUUUUCAGAAUUCUGCUGAAAAGAGGUUUUUGCUGAAAACAGCAGAAAAAGCUGGGAUUUGUGCUGAAAAGUGGUGAAAAAACUGAAAAUUUUGCUGAAAAGGGGUGAAAAAGCUGAAAUUGAGUUAAAAAAGUUUAACUGUUAACUGAAAGAAAUGUUGCCAUAAGCGGGAUUUGAACCCCGGCCUCCCAGUCUGAGAACGGCUGCUAAUUGGUAAAAACACAAAAUUCUUAGUACAAAGACUACGCUUACAAAAUUAUGAACAUAGUAAUAAAUCCGGUCAAUUUCUAGCAAACCAGCUAAAAAUAAAGAAAGAAAAAACAACUAUAUGUGCUGUUCAAGAUUCAUCUGGGAACACAAUAUAUGAACCGAAACAAAUAAACAACAUUUUCAGGGAUUUCUAUAAAACGUUGUAUUCACCACAAAUAAACCCAUCUAAAAAGGAAAUUGAUCAGUUUUUAGACAACAUAACUCUCCCAA